rnacentral:rRNA from 1 species
GAUGAACGCUGGCGGCGUGCCUAAUACAUGCAAGUCGAGCGAACAGAUGAGGAGCUUGCUCCUUUGACGUUAGCGGCGGACGGGUGAGUAACACGUGGAUAACCUACCUAUAAGACUGGGAUAACUUCGGGAAACCGGAGCUAAUACCGGAUAACAUAUUGAACCGCAUGGUUCUAUAGUGAAAGACGGUUUUGCUGUCACUUAUAGAUGGAUCCGCGCCGUAUUAGCUAGUUGGUAAGGUAACGGCUUACCAAGGCAACGAUACGUAGCCGACCUGAGAGGGUGAUCGGCCACACUGGAACUGAGACACGGUCCAGACUCCUACGGGAGGCAGCAGUAGGGAAUCUUCCGCAAUGGGCGAAAGCCUGACGGAGCAACGCCGCGUGAGUGAUGAAGGUCUUCGGAUCGUAAAACUCUGUUAUUAGGGAAGAACAAAUGUGUAAGUAACUAUGCACGUCUUGACGGUACCUAAUCAGAAAGCCACGGCUAACUACGUG